rnacentral:tRNA from 1 species
GGAGGGAUAGCUCAGUGUUAGAGUGUGUGCUUAGCAUGUACAAGGUCCUGGGUUCAAUCCCUAUUACCCCCA